UACAGAGGGUGCAAGCGUUAAUCGGAAUUACUGGGCGUAAAGCGCGCGUAGGUGGUUCGUUAAGUUGGAUGUGAAAUCCCCGGGCUCAACCUGGGAACUGCAUUCAAAACUGUCGAGCUAGAGUAUGGUAGAGGGUGGUGGAAUUUCCUGUGUAGCGGUGAAAUGCGUAGAUAUAGGAAGGAACACCAGUGGCGAAGGCGACCACCUGGACCAAUACUGACGCUCAGGUGCGAAAGCGUGGGGAGCGAACAGG
rnacentral:rRNA from 1 species